rnacentral:lncRNA from 1 species
CUGCAUUCCAGGCCUUUCCAGCUGGUUAUCGACCCUGCCAAUUACUCCUUCCCCUCCCCUUAGCAAGGGGACAACAAAGACUUCCCCGCCUCCACGGCUGUGAAUGUCAAAGUUAAAUGGACGCUCUGAUGCCAUGAACCAAUUAAUCUACUCAGCUAGGCUGGUGGGUGAAUGCGCAUGCACAGAAGUAUCCACUGUAAAAUGUGACCUCAUACACCAGACAAAGCUCAUACCCCUUCCAAUUACCCAGUCACUAGAUCCGCUGCACACCCUUCUGCGCUUCCGUCUACCUCCUUCUUCACCUCUUUUGUUCCUCCACCACAACCCCAGAAAAAGAUAAACUGGUCCCUGGAGCUUGAGGAUGAAGCUGGCAGUGGUGAAGCCGAGGCAGGAAAGGUGGGAAAAUGACAUCAGGAGAUGUAAAUGAGAAGCAGGGGUGACUUGUGGCUCCCCUUCUGCACCCCAGCAGUGACAGACGCCCACGACUCUCUGCCACUCCCCAUUUAGUUGGAUGGCUCCCUCCUUCCCAGGCGACACUCUCUCCUUGACACCACUACACUCUCCAGGGCUGUGGGUCUGGC